GUACAGGACCAGGGGAGUCCCUGUCGGCGAGGGGCUGAGAGGGUAGCUGUGAGCUGCCGACCCUAGGAACCUGAUCCGGGUAAUACCGGCGGAGGGAGGUUUGGUUUGAAUGUU
rnacentral:ncRNA from 2 species